rnacentral:sRNA from 1 species
GUCGGGCAUGGUGGUGCACACCUGUAAUCCCAGUGGCUCAGGAGGCUGAGACAGGAGGAUUGUGUGUUCAAAGCCAGCCUUAGCAACAGUGAGGUGCAAAGCAACUUAGUGAAACCCUGUCUCUA